ensembl:lncRNA TSPAN9-IT1 TSPAN9 intronic transcript 1
GUCUGAAGCUCUGGGAACGGGGGCAGAAAGCUGUAUUUCGAAAAGCUUCCCACAUGAUUUUGAUGCAAAGCGUCCCCAGCCUCCAGCCAGCUUCGCUAGCCAGGGACACAAUUGGAUUGCAAUUUCUAGCACUUCCUGGAGAUCAGGUCCCUGAAGAGCUAUAAAAAUCCAGCGGUGUUUCUGGCCACCUUUCCAUGUGGUUUGUAGUGCACUGUCAGUCACACACGCCUGCAGAGCAUGUGUGUGUUUGUGUUUGCACACGUGUGUGCAUGUGUGUGAGUGGGUGCAUGCAUGCAUGUGUAUUUGGCUUUAAGGGAGGCUCUCAUAUUGCAUUACCUAUGUUGCUAGUUUCUGGCUGCCAGUUUGCAUUUCUUAGGCGGAUUUUCUGAUUCCAGGCUCGGGAGGGCUCCCCUGCACUGUAUGUAAUUGGGCACGAAGCCCGUGGUGGGGUGGAUUUGGGUAAUGGCAGGGCUGCAUUCCUCCCAUUCUUUUCUCACAGGAAAAAGUGCCUGGAUAUAACCCUGUGGUGGGGAUUGCUUACAGGAGGGGCCGGCUGCCUGCC